UACGAAGGGGGCGAGCGUUGUUCGGAAUUACUGGGCGUAAAGGGCUCGUAGGUGGCCAACUAAGUCAGACGUGAAAUCCCUCAGCUUAACUGGGGAACUGCGUCUGAUACUGGAUGGCUUGAAUUCGGGAGAGGGAUGCGGAAUUCCAGGUGUAGCGGUGAAAUGCGUAGAUAUCUGGAGGAACACCGGUGGCGAAGGCGGCAUCCUGGACCGACACUGACGCUGAGGAGCGAAAGCCAGGGGAGCAAACGGG
rnacentral:rRNA from 1 species